rnacentral:rRNA from 1 species
CCCUUAGAUGUUCUGGGCCGCACGCGCGCUACACUGAUGCAUUCAACGAGCCUAUCCUUGACCGACAGGUCCGGGUAAUCUUUGAAUCUGCAUCGUGACGGGGAUAGAUUAUUGCAAUUAUUAAUCUUCAACGAGGAAUGCCUAGUAGGCGCAAGUCAUCAGCUUGCGUCGAUUACGUCCCUGCCCUUUGUACACACCGCCCGUCGCUCCUACCGAUUGAAUGGUCCGGUGAAGUGUUCGGAUCGAGGCGACAUGGGCGGUUCGCUGCCUGUGACGUUGCGAGAAGUCCACUGAACCUUAUCAUUUAGAGGAAGGAGAAGUCGUAACA